AAUCCAUAGGUUAAUGAGGCGAACCGGGGGAACUGAAACAUCUAAGUACCCCGAGGAAAAGAAAUCAACCGAGAUUCCCCCAGUAGCGGCGAGCGAACGGGGAGGAGCCCAGAGCCUGAAUCAGCAUGUGUGUUAGUGGAAGCGUCUGGAAAGGCGCGCGAUACAGGGUGACAGCCCCGUACACAAAAGCGCAUGUGCUGUGAGCUCGAUGAGUAGGGCGGGACACGUGGUAUCCUGUCUGAAUAUGGGGGGACCAUCCUCCAAGGCUAAAUACUCCUGACUGACCGAUAGUGAACCAGUACCGUGAGGGAAAGGCGAAAAGAACCCCGGCGAGGGGAGUGAAAAAGAACCUGAAACCGUGUACGUACAAGCAGUGGGAGCCCCACCACCAAAGCAUUUGCUGUACCGCGUUGACGGAGCGAAGCGACGUCAAACCGAUAAAACAGC
rnacentral:rRNA from 3 species